GUGUUUGCUAAAGGCGUGGCACUUUUUAGUUGCAGCCUUUCAUGAUUCUAUCAUUUUAUGGGGAGCCUCAUGGACCGUUGGAUUGGAAACUGAUCAAUGGCUUUAAUGCAGUGUAUAAAUACAGCUCUUUGGACUGCCCUAGUCAGUGUGUCUUAAGGUUUACGCCGUGUGAGAUUUUUAUGUGACUCUUCCUCUCUUCUUCGUGUUCUUCUUCCACUCUCUGGUUGGAAGCUGAUUGUUGGUAUGAUUCUUUGUGUAAUCUUGAUACUGUGUGUAAUAAAAGAGAGUUAUGUUUAUCCGCCCUUGAGGCUUCCAUCAAUUGAUAAAGGAUUGCUUGAGGAUUUGGAUUAGGGCUUGUGGUCACACAAAAGGGUACAAUUUGUUUAAGUUCUGAUCCCCAUUGAAACAAUCCCUAUCCUUGGUGUCUUCUGCUAGACGUUCGAAGGAAAGAAAUAAAAGAGUUUCUACGGAAGUUAUUGUAGAUCUUUUUUUUUUCUUGAGUUCGUUGUAAUUUUUGAGUUCGAUUUGCUAUCCUUCUUUUUCAUUUCUUCUGUAAAACUCUCCCCAUUAGCCUGUCUUGACCUGAGAACUUGAGUCUCAUGAAAUCUUGGUAGGGUUGGGCAGUUUAUCUUCAAAAUUUUCUUUUAACUCAUGCUUGUUGAAGUGUGCACAUUCAGUCUUCAUUGUUGCACUUAUAUCAAGAAUCUCUAUUUCUAAUUUAUUUGUUGUGAUCAAACUUAUAUUACUGAGUGUGACUAGUUUGAUAGAUGAUAUGAGCACCACUAGCUUUGAACUUGGGGUCUUUGAUGGGAAGGAAGAUUUUCCUAUAUGGCAAUAGAAAAUGGCGG
rnacentral:lncRNA from 1 species